rnacentral:rRNA from 1 species
GGUUAACGGAGCGAAAGCGACGUUCAACCUCAAAAGAAGCAGAGGGGGCUUAGUGGUGGGGUGACUGCGUACCUUUUGUAUAAUGGGUCAGCGACUUAUAUUCUGUAGCAAGGUUAACCGAAUAGGGGAGCCGGAGGGAAACCGAGUCUUAACCGGGCGUUAAGUUGCAGGGUAUAGACCCGAAACCCGGUGAUCUAGCCAUGGGCAGGUUGAAGGUUGGGUAACACUAACUGGAGGACCGAACCGACUAAUGUUGAAAAAUUAGCGGAUGACCUGUGGCUGGGGGUGAAAGGCCAAUCAAACCGGGAGAUAGCUGGUUCUCCCCGAAAGCUAUUUAGGUAGCGCCUCGUGAAUUCAUCUCCGGGGGUAGAGCACUGUUUCGGCUAGGGGGCCAUCCCGGCUUACCAACCCGAUGCAAACUGCGAAUACCGGAGAAUGUUAUCACGGGAGACACACGGCGGGUGCUAACGUCCGUCGUGAAGAGGGAAACAACCCAGACCGCCAGCUAAGGUCCCAAAGUCAUGGUUAAGUGGGAAACGAUGUGGGAAGGCCCAGACAGCCAGGAUGUUGGCUUAGAAGCAGCCAUCAUUUAAAGAAAGCGUAAUAGCUCACUGGUCGAGUCGGCCUGCGCGGAAGAUGUAACGGGGCUAAACCAUGCACCGAAGCUGCGGCAGCGACGCUGAUGCGUUGUUGGGUAGGGGAGCGUUCUGUAAGCCUGCGAAGGUGGCCUGUGAGGGUUGCUGGAGGUAUCAGAAGUGCGAAUGCUGACAUAAGUAACGAUAAAGCGGGUGAAAAGCCCGCUCGCCGGAAGACCAAGGGUUCCUGUCCAACGUUAAUCGGGGCAGGGUGAGUCGACCCCUAAGGCGAGGCCGAAAGGCGUAGUCGAUGGGAAACGGGUUAAUAUUCCCGUACUUGGUGUUACUGCGAAGGGGGGACGGAGAAGGCUAUGUUGGCCGGGCGACGGUUGUCCCGGUUUAAGCGUGUAGGUGUGUGUUCCAGGUAAAUCCGGUUCACUUUAACACUGAGGCGUGAUGACGAGGCACUACGGUGCUGAAGCAACAAAUGCCCUGCUUCCAGGAAAAGCCUCUAAGCAUCAGGUAACAUCAAAUCGUACCCCAAACCGACACAGGUGGUCAGGUAGAGAAUACCAAGGCGCUUGAGAGAACUCGGGUGAAGGAACUAGGCAAAAUGGUGCCGUAACUUCGGGAGAAGGCACGCUGACACGUAGGUGAAGUGAUUUACUCAUGGAGCUGAAGUCAGUCGAAGAUACCAGCUGGCUGCAACUGUUUAUUAAAAACACAGCACUGUGCAAACACGAAAGUGGACGUAUACGGUGUGACGCCUGCCCGGUGCCGGAAGGUUAAUUGAUGGGGUCAGCGCAAGCGAAGCUCCUGAUCGAAGCCCCGGUAAACGGCGGCCGUAACUAUAACGGUCCUAAGGUAGCGAAAUUCCUUGUCGGGUAAGUUCCGACCUGCACGAAUGGCGUAAUGAUGGCCAGGCUGUCUCCACCCGAGACUCAGUGAAAUUGAACUCGCUGUGAAGAUGCAGUGUACCCGCGGCAAGACGGAAAGACCCCGUGAACCUUUACUAUAGCUUGACACUGAACAUUGAGCCUUGAUGUGUAGGAUAGGUGGGAGGCUUUGAAGUGUGGACGCCAGUCUGCAUGGAGCCGGCCUUGAAAUACCACCCUUUAAUGUUUGAUGUUCUAACGUGGACCCGUGAUCCGGGUUGCGGACAGUGUCUGGUGGGUAGUUUGACUGGGGCGGUCUCCUCCUAAAGAGUAACGGAGGAGCACGAAGGUUGGCUAAUCCUGGUCGGACAUCAGGAGGUUAGUGCAAUGGCAUAAGCCAGCUUGACUGCGAGCGUGACGGCGCGAGCAGGUGCGAAAGCAGGUCAUAGUGAUCCGGUGGUUCUGAAUGGAAGGGCCAUCGCUCAACGGAUAAAAGGUACUCCGGGGAUAACAGGCUGAUACCGCCCAAGAGUUCAUAUCGACGGCGGUGUUUGGCACCUCGAUGUCGGCUCAUCACAUCCUGGGGCUGAAGUAGGUCCCAAGGGUAUGGCUGUUCGCCAUUUAAAGUGGUACGCGAGCUGGGUUUAGAACGUCGUGAGACAGUUCGGUCCCUAUCUGCCGUGGGCGCUGGAGAACUGAGGGGGGCUGCUCCUAGUACGAGAGGACCGGAGUGGACGCAUCACUGGUGUUCGGGUUGUCAUGCCAAUGGCACUGCCCGGUAGCUAAAUGCGGAAGAGAUAAGUGCUGAAAGCAUCUAAGCACGAAACUUGCCCCGAGAUGAGUUCUCCCUGAGACUUAGAGUCUCCUGAAGGAACGUUGAAGACGACGACGUUGAUAGGCCGGGUGUGUAAGCGCAGCGAUGCGUUGAGCUAACCGGUACUAAUGAACCGUGAGGCUUAACCUUACA